UGUUCCACCUGGUGGGGGCUAAGUGGUGCUGUUAGCCUGUAUUUUGCCCUCAGCUUUCCAUACCUUCCCUCAUUAGGUAGUCAGGACACCAUUUUCUUAACCAAUGGAUUCAAGAAAGUGUAUAGGAGUUUUCCAGAAGGGGCAUCAAGAAAGAACCUCAUUCAGCUGAGUGCCUAAAUACAAUGCAGGGCAGUGUCUCCAUCUAACCUACAAUGCACAUGUAGCAUAAAAAAGAAAUCUUCCUUUUUUUUUAAAGUCAUUGAUAUAGGGGGAUUGAUUAAUACUGCAGCAUAUCUUAGCUAUUCCUGACUUGUUUCCUCUGCCACCUUCUGAUGGCAGAAGGGUUCAAUACUACUUACUGAACAAUCUACUUUUUUCCUUUUUUAUUUACUACGUAUUAUAUCCCUGAAAAUA